ensembl:snRNA U6 U6 spliceosomal RNA
GUGCUUGCUUCGGCAGCACAUUUACUAAAAUUGGAAUGGUACAGAGAAGAAUAGCAGGCCCUGGGCAAAGAUGACAUGCAAGUUCCUGAAGCGGUCCACAUUUUA